rnacentral:rRNA from 1 species
CACGAAAGUGUGACGGAGCGACGCCGCGUGUGGGACGAAGCCCUUCGGGGUGUAAACCACUGUCAGGGGAAAGAAAGUUCUGAUCUACCCCAGAGGAAGGGACGGCUAACUCUGUGCCAGCAGCCGCGGUAAGACAGAGGUCCCGAGCGUUAGGCGGAAUCACUGGGCUUAAAGCGUGUGUAGGCGGAGUUCUAAGUACCUUGUGAAAUCCCACGGCUCAACCGUGGAACUGCUUGGUAUACUGGUUCUCUUGAGCCACCUAGGGGCAACCGGAACAAACGGUGGAGCGGUGAAAUGCGUAGAUAUCGUUUGGAACGCCAAUGGUGAAAACAGGUUGCUGGGGGUGUGCUGACGCUGAGACACGAAAGCCAGGGGAGCAAACGGGAUUAGAUACCCCGGUAGUCCUGGCUGUAAACGAUGUCGACUAGAUCGUAGUGGCUCUGACGCCAUUAUGGUCGAAGCAAAAGUGCUAAGUCGACCGCCUGGGAAGUACGGUCGCAAGGCUA